rnacentral:rRNA from 1 species
AGAGUUUAAUCCUGGCUCAGGAUUAACGUUGGCAGUGCACCUAAUAUAUGCAAGUCGAGCGAUAUAGCGGCAGACGAGAGAGUAAUAGUAAGGAACUUACCCCCGAGUGAAGGAUAGCCAGCCGAAAGGUUGGGUAAUCCUGCAUAAUAUCGAAAGAUCAAAGCCUUCGGGCGCUUGGGGAGAGGCCUUACUCCUAUCAGCUUGUUGGUGAGGUAAUGGCUCACCAAGGCGAUGACGGGUAGCUGGUCUGAGAGGAUGAUCAGCCUCGAUGGGACUGAGACACGGCCCAUACUCCUACGGGAGGCAGCAAUAAGGGAUUUUGCACAAUGGGCGAAAGCCUGAUGCAGUGACACUGCGUGAAGGAUGAAAGUUUUCGGAUCGUAAACUUCUUUUAUCAGGGAGUAAUCUGAAAGUACCUGA